rnacentral:rRNA from 1 species
UACAGAGGGUGCGAGCGUUAAUCGGAAUUACUGGGCGUAAAGCGCGCGUAGGCGGCUUUUCAAGUCGAUUGUGAAAUCCCCGGGCUCAACCCGGGAACUGCGUCCGAUACUGGCAGGCUUGAAUCCGGGAGAGGGAUGUGGAAUUCCAGGUGUAGCGGUGAAAUGCGUAGAUAUCUGGAGGAACACCGGUGGCGAAGGCGGCAUCCUGGACCGGUAUUGACGCUGAGGCGCGAAAGCCAGGGGAGCAAACGGG